UACGUAGGUGGCAAGCGUUGUCCGGAAUUAUUGGGCGUAAAGCGCGCGCAGGCGGUCCUUUAAGUCUGAUGUGAAAGCCCGCGGCUCAACCGUGGAAGGUCAUUGGAAACUGGGGGACUUGAGUGCAGAAGAGGAGAGUGGAAUUCCACGUGUAGCGGUGAAAUGCGUAGAGAUGUGGAGGAACACCAGUGGCGAAGGCGACUCUCUGGUCUGUAACUGACGCUGAGGCGCGAAAGCGUGGGGAGCAAACAGG
rnacentral:rRNA from 1 species